AGAAAGGAGAAUGGCUAAAUGGGAUAAGCCACUAGAUUCAUACUCUAGGGAAACUAGGAUAGUCUUUUCUA
rnacentral:tRNA from 1 species